GUAAGGUAUGAAAGAGAAAAUUUAGCACUUUCCUUGACAAGGAUGAAAGAGGUCGCAGUGGCCUUUACAACACAUAUACAGUUAACGCACUGCAACCUACUUAGUGGCAUCUCUAAACAAGUUUUU